UGUUGUGUAGUAUCCCACUGUGUGUAUAUACCAUAAUUUGUUUAUCCAUUGGUCUGUUGGGGGCACCUAGGUUGUUUCCAUCUUUUUGCUAUUGUGAACAGUACUUGUGGUGGUUAAUAUUGUGUGUCAACUUGGCUGGGCCAUGAUUCUCAGUGUUUAUGUGUGAUCGCUCCCAUGACUGAAUCUGUGAUGAGUAGCCAAUCAGCUGAAAGGGAGUUUCCUUGGGGGUGUGGCCUACAACCAAAUAUAAGCAGACGUUCUGGCUUUUUUGCUCAUUCUGGAUCCUGUACUGCCUCAUGUCCAUCUGACCUCUGGGACUUGAGCUAUCAGCUUAGCUGCAGAUCUUGGAAUUCAUUGAUCUUCACAGCCUGAUAGCGGGAGCCCCAAUCUGCCAAUCUUGGGUUUGCCAGCACCUGCGGCUAUGUGAAUUGAGAGAAGCCUCUAUCCUGAUACAUGGACUUGGGACAUUUCAGCCUCUACAAUCGCGGAACCCAACCUAAGACAGUGCUGCAAUGAACAUGGAUGUGCAUAUAUCUAUUCGUGUGGCAGCUCUUUUCUCUAGGAUAUAUUCCAAGGAGUGGAAUUGUUGGAUCACAUGGUACUUCUAUUUCUAGCUUCUUAAGAGAGCACCAAAUUGUUUUCUGAAGUGGUUGUACCAUUUUACAUUUCCGCCAGCAGCAUGUAUAUGUUCCAGUCUCUCCACAACCUCUCCAACACUUAUUAGUUUGUGUUUUUUGGAUUAAUGCUAGCCUUGUUGGGGUGAGAUGGUAUCUCAUUGUAGUUUUGAUUUGCAUUUCUGUAAUGGCUAAUGAUCAUGUAUCUGUUA